AUUCCAUGGUGUGGACAUUUUCGUUGCAGAUCCUUGAAUCUUUCCUAGGCAUCAUGAAGCGUUUCGUUGUCACGUUGCUUGAAGCUAGUGAUAUCAAUUCUCAGCUU
rfam:Corchorus olitorius cultivar O-4 contig12565, whole genome shotgun sequence.